GACGAACCGUCCAAACGUUAUUCGGUAUCACUGGGCUUAAAGCGUGCGUAGGCGGCCUGGUAGGUGAGAUGUGAAAGCCCACGGCUCAACCGUGGAAUUGCGUUUCAAACCACCAGGCUUGAGGAUGGCAGGGGUGAUGGGAACUGAUGGUGGAGCGGUGAAAUGCGUUGAUAUCAUCAGGAACACCGGUGGCGAAGGCGCAUCACUGGGCCAUUUCUGACGCUGAGGCACGAAAGCUAGGGUAGCGAACGGGAUUAGAUA
rnacentral:rRNA from 1 species